rnacentral:rRNA from 1 species
ACACUGUACGAGUUUGAUCAUGGCUCAGAACGAACGCUGGCGGCAGGCUUAACACAUGCAAGUCGAGCGCCCCGCAAGGGGAGCGGCGGACGGGUGAGUAACGCGUGGGAACGUACCCUUUGCUACGGAAUAGCCUCGGGAAACUGGGAGUAAUACCGUAUGUGCCCUUCGGGGGAAAGAUUUAUCGGCAAAGGAUCGGCCCGCGUUGGAUUAGGUAGUUGGUGGGGUAAUGGCCUACCAAGCCGACGAUCCAUAGCUGGUUUGAGAGGAUGAUCAGCCACACUGGGACUGAGACACGGCCCAGACUCCUACGGGAGGCAGCAGUGGGGAAUCUUAGACAAUGGGCGCAAGCCUGAUCUAGCCAUGCCGCGUGAGCGAUGAAGGCCUUAGGGUUGUAAAGCUCUUUCAGUGGGGAAGAUAAUGACUGUACCCACAGAAGAAGCCCCGGCUAACUCCGUG